rnacentral:tRNA from 1 species
GGGUUCUUAGCUCAGUUGGUUCAGAGCACCUGCUCGACAAGCAGGGGGUCGCUGGUUCGAGUCCAGUAGGACCCA